UACGGGGGGGGCAAGCGUUGUUCGGAAUUACUGGGCGUAAAGGGCUCGUAGGUGGCCAACUAAGUCGGACGUGAAAUCCCUCAGCUUAACUGGGGAACUGCGUCCGAUACUGGAUGGCUCGAGUUUGGGAGAGGGAUGCGGAAUUCCAGGUGUAGCGGUGAAAUGCGUAGAUAUCUGGAGGAACACCAGUGGCGAAAGCGCGUGACUGGGCCAUAACUGACGCUGAGGAACGAAAGCUAGGGUAGCGAAAGGG
rnacentral:rRNA from 1 species